rnacentral:lncRNA from 12 species
GUGGAGGUGGCGGGGGCAGGGAUGGGGCCAGCAGGGCAGUGAACAGCUGAGCCGAGGCCAGCUGCCAGCACCUGGUGGCAGGUGCAGGUGUGACACCUGCAGGGCGGGCACGGGUCUCCAGGCGACAAGGUGACACCUGCAACUCCCUGCGGGCACCCAGGAACAGGUCAGUUCCGGAGAGGUUGGCCGUGAAGCAUGGGGCUGGCGCUGCUGUCUGUGGCCCUGCUGGCCCUGCUGGCCCUGCUGGCGUGGCCUGCGCAGGCCGUGGCUGCUCAGGAUCCCGACGUGCUCUGUGGAGCGUGCCGGGCCCUGAUGGACGAGGUGGAGUACGACGUCACCAAGGCUCAGCAGAAGAAGACCAAGGUGGGCUCCUUCCGAAUAAAUCCUGACGGGACGCAGGAGCAGAGAAAGAUGCCCUUAGCCCACUCGGAGGCUUUCCUAGCAGACCUGUUGGAUGGAGUGUGUGAGCGGAUGAACGACUACAAGCUAGAAGAAGACCCUGUGACCAAGAAGAAGGCGUUUAAGAGAUUUGCUCCAAGGAAAGGAGACAAAAUAUACAAAGAAUUUAAAAAAUUCUAUUUUUAUUCUGAUGCUUACAGACCUUUGAAAUUUGCGUGCGAAGCCAUAAUAGAGGAGCAUGAAGACGAAAUAUCCUCACUUAUCGCCCAGGAGGCACACCACCUCGCUGACAAGCUGUGCAGUGAAAAAGCAGACCUCUGUGAAACCUCUGCUAACCAAACUGAGCUUUAGGAUGCCAGUUCUACCAGUUAGUGAGGAGGAAAGCCACAGCUCCACAGGUCAACAUCUGUUUCAUAUCUUCAUUUCUUCAUGCAAAGAAAGUUUAUAUCUCUUGUUUAUGCCAUGUUGUCUCAAGUGUGACUUUUUAUUGAAAAUCUGUUGUUUGGCAUCAUGACAAACUUGGUUCUUUCUAUAGGGGAGGCUGAGGAGUGCAUAAAACAAAUUACCUUUGUGGAUUUGGGUACUGACAGGUUUGGGAGUAAAUAAUUUAAUUUUAUAAUAAGAAAAAAGUGAAGCUAUUUCAUAAAUGAAAUAAGGGUUUGAUAAUGCAUACUGUAUAUUUUAUCCACGUCUACAAGUAUCAUGUUCUAUUUGAUAAGAACUUGAUUUGAUUUCUUGAAUACUUGAUUGGUCAUGAAAUCAAGAAAAUAUAUUGCCACAAAUUCCAGAUUAUGUAUACUUCUGGGUUAUAUAUGAUGAUCAAUAAAAGAAACCAACUUACUUUAUAUCA